rnacentral:lncRNA from 1 species
AAUGAGGUUGUUGUAAAAGCUAAAAAUAGUGGGAGAAAAGUCCUUCUGUGAACACUAAACAACAAUAACCCACCUCCCUCUGCCUCAGAAAGCUCCAAAGCUGUAUGCCCUUUGCUAGAGGCUGGAGAUGCAUGAUGUGCUAUGUGCUUUUCUAACUCUUAUAUUCUUCUGUUGGCUGUUACAAAACCAGGAUAUUGGGCUGGUGGACUUUAGCCUUGAACUCUUGUGACCACUCAUACGUGGGUAUUAUCCUAAAUUGGACAUAACUGAGUGAAGGCUGUGUUGCCAGCAGCAGAAGCCAGAUCUAAAGAAAGGAGACAAGUGCCUUGCUGUAUGGAUGUCAGAUUCCACUGGAAGUCAGCAAGUGAACCCCUGAUCUGAAUUCUCUACUUGAGAUGAAUAAUAGACUGAAUAUGGUAUGUGACGGCUCUGUAGAUGCUGGAGGUAUAACGCGAAUGAGUACAUUGUUCUGAAACGCUGCCAUAAGGGCCCUGUUGCAGAUUUGGAAGCAUCCUGACUACCAGACAGGUCGUGGUUGCCAUGAGAUUAAAUCUGGUGAAGCUGUUGGUAAUAACCAAGCUCCUGCCCGUCCCCCUGCCACAGGACAAACCAUGUACGAGAUUGUUCUCCCAUGGAGCUCAUGAAGAACAUCUGGAUGAGAGAGAAAACGAAGCCUGUCCAAAGAACACAGUGAACCAAGGGAGGGGAACUGCCUCUCCCCCGGAGCUGUGGAACGCUCCCAGUUCACAUUGGUGUCUUUUACAGCCCCUUUGGAUUUUGCUGCAUCACAUGAACGGUGCUUACACAGAUGGUAAAAAUAUGUUUUUCUG